rnacentral:pre_miRNA from 1 species
UUUCUACUCCCUCCGUCCGAAAAUACUUAUCAUCAAAAUGGAUAAAAAGAGAUGUAUCUAAAACUAAAAUACGUCUAGAUACAUUUCCUUUUAUCCAUUUUGAUGACAAGUAUUUCCGGACGAAGGGAGUAUUUG